rnacentral:rRNA from 1 species
ACCUGCCCUUGACUUUGGGAUAACUUCAGGAAACUGGGGCUAAUACCGGAUAGGAGCUCCUGCUGCAUGGUGGGGUUGGAAAGUUUCGGCGGUUGGGGAUGGACUCGCGGCUUAUCAGCUUGUUGGUGGGUAACGGCUCACCAAGGCGACGAUCCCUAGCUGGUCUGAGAGGAUGACCAGCCACACUGGAACUGAGACACGGUCCAGACUCCUACGGGAGGCAGCAGUGGGAA